rnacentral:rRNA from 1 species
UUCUGCGACCAUACCACGUAGAAAGCACCGGUUCUCGUCGGAUCACCGAAGUUAAGCUACGUUGGGCCCGGUUAGUAUUUGCAUGGAUGUUCAUAACACUUACUUCUAAGGAAGUUGUGUUCU